GAUGAACGCUGGCGGCGUGCCUAAUACAUGAAAGUCGAGCGAACGGACGAGAAGCUUGCUUCUCUGAUGUUAGCGGCGGACGGGGGAGUAACACGUGGAAAACCUACCUAUAAGACUGGGAUAACUUCGGGAAACCGGAGCUAAUACCGGAUAAUAUUUUGAACCGCAUGGUUCAAAAGGGAAAGACGGUCUUGCUGUCCCUUAUAGAGGGAUCCGCGCUGCAUUAGCUAGUUGGUAAGGUAACGGCUUACCAAGGCAACGAUGCAUAGCCGACCUGAGAGGGUGAUCGGCCACACUGGAACUGAGACACGGUCCAGACUCCUACGGGAGGCAGCAGUAGGGAAUCUUCCGCAAUGGGCGAAAGCCUGACGGAGCAACGCCGCGUGAGUGAUGAAGGUCUUCGGAUCGUAAAACUCUGUUAUUAGGGAAGAACAUAUGUGUAAGUAACUGUGCACAUCUUGACGGUACCUAAUCAGAAAGCCACGGCUAACUACGUG
rnacentral:rRNA from 1 species